rnacentral:rRNA from 1 species
AUUGAACGCUGGCGGCAGGCCUAACACAUGCAAGUCGAACGAGUGGCGGACGGGUGAGUAAGGUAUGAGAAACUGCGUGAUGGAGGGGGAUAACUACUGGAAAAGGUAGAAAAUAGCGCAUAACGCCGGUUGUGCCCAGAUGGGAUUAGCUAGUCGGGGGGGUAAAGGCUCACCUAGGCGACGCUCCCUAGCUGGUCUGCGAGGAUGACCAGCCACAAUGGAACUGAGACACGGUCCAGACGCCUACGGGAGGCAGCAGUGGGGAAUAUUGGACAAGGGGCGCAAGCCUGAUGGAGCCAUGCCGCGUGUAUGAAGAAGGCCUUCGGGUUGUAAAGUACUUUUGGCGGGGAGGCGUUACCCACAGAAGAAGCCCCGGCUAACUCCGUGCCAGCAGCCGCGGUAAUUC